UGGGACGUAGUAUAAAAAUUAUAUUUCAUUUACACUGAAAAGGUGAUAGUUUUCUGUCCGUUCUAA
rnacentral:tRNA from 1 species